GCGCUUGCACCCCGGUGACGAGCGGCGGACCCCUUAUUAAUGCAUAGGAAACUGCCCAGUAGUGGGGGAUAGCCCGGGGAAACCCGGAUUAAUACCGCGUACGCCCUUCGGGGGAAAGCAGGGGAUCUUCGGACCUUGCGCUAUUGGAUGUGCAUAUGUCGGAUUAGCUAGGUGGUGGGGUAAAGGCCUACCAAGGCGACGAUCCGCAGCUGGUCUGAGAGGAUGAUCAGCCACAUCGGGACUGAGACACGGCCCGAACUCCUACGGGAGGCAGCAGUGGGGAAUAUUGGACAAUGGGGGCAACCCUGAUCCAGCCAUGCCGCGUGUGUGAAGAAGGCUUUCGGGUUGUAAAGCACUUUCAGUGAGGAGGAAAACUCUGCGACUAAUACUCGUAGGGCUUGACGUUACUCACAGAAGAAGCACCGGCUAACUCCGUGCCAGCAGCCGCGGUAAUACGGAGGGUGCAAGCGUUAAUCGGAAUUACUGGGCGUAAAGCGCGCGUAGGUGGUUUGAUAAGCGAGAUGUGAAAGCCCCGGGGUCAACCUGGGAACGGCAUUUCGAACUGUCAGGCUAGAGUAUGGUAGAGGGUAGUG
rnacentral:rRNA from 1 species